rnacentral:rRNA from 1 species
AAGGAGCGAAAACUUAAAUAUCUAAGCACUAAGGCUUAAAAGUGAUUAAACUAAAAAGCUAAAACUUAAAGAACAUGGCGGCGGAAAUAAAAUUUAGGGGGAACUUACCAGGUAAUUGACAACCCUCAAAAAAAAUCACCUUUAUUUAAAGUUUGUAUACCGCCGUCUUGGGCCCUCUUAAGGAGGGCCCAGAAUUAUGUAAUAAAUAAGACAGGUCAUGGUGCAGCCCAUAUAAAGGACUGUAAGGUGAGUUACAAUAGUAAUUUACUUCGGAAUAAAAAUGUAAGAAUGAAAGGAAGAUGGACUUAACAGUAAUUACUAAAGAAGUAUGUUUUGAAAUACAAAGAUUUUCGUGC